AAUAAGUGCAGCCGUGGAUAUCCGUGUCCAACGUUUGACCGUCCGUCUUAUUUGAAAAAUUAAUGAAAAAAUUAGUCACACAUAAAGUACUAUUUAUGUUUUAUCAUCUAAUAGCAAUAAAAAUACUAAUCAUAAAAAAAUUUCAAAUAAGACGAACAGUCAAACGUUGAACGUGAAUAGUGCAAAACUGCACUUAUU
rnacentral:pre_miRNA from 1 species